CGCGUAGGUGGUAGUGUAAGUCUGAGGUGGAAUCCCAGGGCUUAACCCUGGAACUGCCUUGGAAACUGCAUUACUUGAGUCAGUGAGGGGAGGGUAGAAUUCCUGGUGUAGCGGUGAAAUGCGCAGAUAUCAGGAGGAAGGCCUGUGGCGAAGGCGGCCCUCUGGUGCUGGACUGACACUGAGGCGCGAAAGCGUGGGGAGCAAACAGGAUUAGAUACCCUGGUAGUCCACGCCCUAAACGGUGGGCACUAGGUGUAGGGCUCGUAAGGGUUCUGUGCCGAAGGGAAACCAUUAAGUGCCCCGCCUGGGGAGUACGGCCGCAAGGUUGAA
rnacentral:rRNA from 1 species